GAUGAACGCUGGCGGCGUGCCUAAUACAUGCCAGUCGAGCGAACAGACGAGGAGCUUGCUCCUCUGACGUUAGCGGCGGACGGGUGAGUAACACGUGGAUAACCUACCUAUAAGACUGGGAUAACUUCGGGGAACCGGAGCUAAUACCGGAUAAUAUAUUGAACCGCAUGGUUCAAUAGUGAAAGACGGUUUUGCUGUCACUUAUAGAUGGAUCCGCGCCGCAUUAGCUAGUUGGUAAGGUAACGGCUUACCAAGGCAACGAUGCGUAGCCGACCUGAGAGGGUGAUCGACCACACUGGAACUGAGACACGGUCCAGACUCCUACGGGAGGCAGCAGUAGGGAAUCUUCCGCAAUGGGCGAAAGCCUGACGGAGCAACGCCGCGUGAGUGAUGAAGGUCUUCGGAUCGUAAAACUCUGUUAUUAGGGAAGAACAAAUGUGUAAGUAACUAUGCACGUCUUGACGGUACCUAAUCAGAAAGCCACGGCUAACUACGUG
rnacentral:rRNA from 1 species